rnacentral:rRNA from 1 species
GACGAACGCUGGCGGCGUGCUUAACACAUGCAAGUCGAACGGAAAGGCCCAGCUUGCUGGGUACUCGAGUGGCGAACGGGUGAGUAACACGUGGGUGAUCUGCCCUUGACUCUGGGAUAAGCCUGGGAAACUGGGUCUAAUACCGGAUAUGACCUUACAUCGCAUGGUGUUUGGUGGAAAGCUUUUGCGGUUCAGGAUGGGCCCGCGGCCUAUCAGCUUGUUGGUGGGGUAAUGGCCUACCAAGGCGACGACGGGUAGCCGACCUGAGAGGGUGAUCGGCCACACUGGGACUGAGACAGGGCCCAGACUCCUACGGGAGGCAGCAGUGGGGAAUAUUGCACAAUGGGGGCAAGCCUGAUGCAGCGACGCCGCGUGAGGGAUGACGGCCUUCGGGUUGUAAACCUCUUUCACCAGGGACGAAGCGUGAGUGACGGUACCUGGAGAAGAAGCACCGGCCAACUACGUG